GUGCUCACUUCAGCAGCACAUAUACUAAACUUGAAAUGAUACUCAGAAGAUUAGCAUGGCCCAUAUGCAAGAAUGACACCCAAAUUUAUGAAGCAUGCCAUAUUUUA